GACGAACGCUGGCGGCGUGCUUAACACAUGCCAGUCGAACGGACAGGCCCUGCUUUUGUGGGGUGCUCGAGUGGCGAACGGGUGAGUAACACGUGAGUAACCUGCCCUUGACUUUGGGAUAACUUCAGGAAACUGGGGCUAAUACCGGAUAGGAGCUCCUGCUGCAUGGUGGUGGUUGGAAAGUUUCGGCGGUUGGGGAUCGACUCGCGGCUUAUCAGCUUGUUGGUGGGGUAGUGGCUUACCAGGGUUUUGACGGGUAGCCGGCCUGGGAGGGUUACCGGCCACAUUGGGCCUGAGAUACGGCCCAGACGCCUACGGGAGGCAGCAGGGGGGAAUAUUGCACAAUGGGCGGAAGCCUGAUGCAGCAACGCCGCGUGCGGGAUGACGGCCUUCGGGUUGUAAACCGCUUUCGCCUGUGACGAAGCGUGAGUGACGGUAAUUGGUAAAGAAGCACCGGCUAACUACGUG
rnacentral:rRNA from 1 species